rnacentral:lncRNA from 10 species
GUUCACAUCUCAAAAAGAAAAUAGAAACAACCCAUCAAAAACUCCUUAACAACAGUGACACUAAAGCCAUUAUACUGGCCUACAAAACAGAAUUAACAGAGAGAAGAAAGGUUGCUUAUUAUGCCCGCAAGCUGAUGCAACAAUAGUCACACAUACUUACCAUUGUGUUACAAUGCAAUGGUCUACAGUAUUCAGUACAGUAACAUGAUGUAUACAGGUUGGUAGCUAGGAGCAAUUGUCUAUACCAUCUAGGUUUGUGUAAGUACAACUUACGAUGUUUGCACAAUCUCCUAAUGAAGCAUUUCUCAGAAUGUAUCCCUGUCAUUAAGCAAUCCAUGACUGUAGUU